AAAUCUGCCUUCCAAACAUGUAAGAACUCUUUGAUGAACCCAGGGGAAAUUUGUUUGUUUGUUCUAACAUCGUCUAGCAAUAAUCAAUUAUAUCAAUGCCAUAAUUCCAGUCAAAUGCACAAAGGUCAUCUGUUUAUCAUGAAUUUAACAUUUAGUUACUGCAUCAAAUCAAUACUGGAGAAAUCAAGGGAUUCAUGUCAUGGCUCAACUCCAAACCCCCCAAAAAACAAACUUACACUUUCAAGAUGUGAGGGGAAAAAAACAAGAGUGAUUUCUUUUCCAAGUUAUCUCAGCAAUAAAAAGUCCAGACUGUGGAGGAAAGCAGCCGUCUGAUCUCGGAGCAUUUUUGAAGGCAUCGCAGAAUAGACUCUAAUAUAUAUACUGCUUUUUCUAUGCAGAGGUCAGUGAAAAUAUUUUUCCAUUGUGCGUCAGCAGGAUUAUGCUAAAACCAGAUUUCAUGCAACUUGAAAGAUGGAGCAUGUGAUUAUACAAAACUCAUUUCCAUUUGGGUGCAGAUCAUUUUUUUUGACACAGGGCACUGGCCUUAUGCUACAAUCACACUAAACAGUGGUUUAGUGCACAACGAACUACAGUGAACUUCGUGGAGAUCAAAUAGUUUUUGAUAAUACAACAAUUAAUAAUAAAUCACCAACAAUUACAAAUCUGUUGCGAUCUACAUUCACUGAAAUUCACAUUAAACAGAAAUUAGCUACUUACAUUCAGAAUCCAGCCAGACCCUCAUAGUUAUGAAACAGAAGUUCAGUUCUUCCACAGUGUGGUUGCUGCAGGACAGCAAUUUCACUGCAAAAUGACACAGGCACUCAACAGCAGAGAUGUAACGCGUUACUGUAAUGUGAUUACUUUUUUCAAGUAACGAGUAAUGUAAGGGAUUACCAUUGCAAAAAAUUAGAUUACCGUUACUUUCCCGUAGGAACGCUGCGUUACUGCGUUACUAAAACCGUGAGUUUUUUGCAAGAAUGUCUCAUAACAGUGACGUGAAGGAGUGCGACGUUCGUGACAACAGCUGUCUGCAGAUCAGCAAUGGAUAAUAUAUCGAGUGCGGGAGAGAGUAUGAGCAUGCAGCGUUUAAAGCGUGGAAGUACUGACCUUAUUUUGAGUUUGAUUCCAUGAAAAGUGACAAAAACAUUAGUGUCCGUUGUGCGUGGGAAGAAAACUAAUUUUUACAGCGAAAAAACCCCUAAACUUCCAAGCAAGCAGCGAGUGCGCUACGACUGUAAUGGGAACUUCACAGAGAAACUCGCGGAGUCUUCAACUGACCGCUGCACCUGCACCAGGGUAAACCUCCGCCUACCCCAGUCCUGCUUUACAGGUGAAAAUAGAGCAACUAGCCUUUGACUUUAUUUAUCUGCUGUGUUUUACUUGCAUCUAUUUGAAAGAGUGAGUGUAAACACAAAAACAUAUUUUAUUUUAUGUGCUGGAAUGUGCAGAAAAUAGGUUUAAAUGUUAAACAAAUUUCUUCCAGUCAGAGAAUGUUGCAUAUAAUUUAAUUUUUGCUUGAUGCAUAAAAUUAAAAUAUUAAAACUAAUAAAACAAGUUUUAAAAAGAGACUUUUCCAUUUGAUUACAUUUUGUAUGAUGGAUUAUGCAGAAAAAGUAGAAUUGGGCUGAAAGAUCUAUCGCUUUAUCAUCUAUUCAGGUUGUAAAUCGUGUUUUUAAAAAGUAACUAAGUAAUUAAUUACUUUUGAAAAUAAGUAAUCAGUAAAGUAACGGGAUUACUUUUGGGGGGAAGUAAUCAGUAAUUAGUAACUGAUUACUUUUUUCAAGUAACUUGACCAACACUGCUCAACAGCCUUGCUUUCAAACAGGAAUACAACCAGCUGGCA
rnacentral:lncRNA from 1 species